CGCUUUGCUGACGUGGAAACAAAU
rnacentral:miRNA from 1 species